UCACCGGAAGGCAAAUGGCGAGCCAUCUCCCUUUCAAGGAGACGUUAGCGAGUUCGAUUCUCGUCCGGUGAACCA
rnacentral:tRNA from 1 species